GCAUAUAUCUGUUCAUAUAAAGGCUCUUAUUUCUCUAAGAUAUAUUCCAAGGAGUGGGAUUGCCAUAUGCUAUGGUAGUUCUAUUUCUAGCUUUUUAAGGAAGUGCCAGAUUGAUUUCCAAAGUGGCUGCACCAUUUUAAACUCCCACCAGCAGUGAAUAAGUGUUCCAGUCUCUCUACAACCUCUCGAACAUUUAUUAUUUUGUGAUUUGGGAUUAAUGGCAGCCUUGUUGGAGUGAGAUGGUAUCUCAUUGUAGUUUUGAUUUACAUUUCUCUAACGGCUAAUGAUUAUGAGCAUUUCCUCAUGUAUCUGUUACCUGCCUGAAUGUCUUCUUCGUUGAAGUGCCUAUUCCUAUCCUUUGCCCAUUUUUAAAAUGGAUUAUUUGUCUUUUUGUUAUUGAGUUUUUGCAAUAUCAUGUAGAUUUUAGAGAUCAGAUGCUGAUCGGAAAUGUUAUAGCUCAAAACUGUUUCCCAGGCUGUAGGCAAUCAGUUUACUCUCCUGGUGAAGACUUUGGAUGAGCAUAAGUGUUUGAUUUUUAGGAGUUACCUAAUUUCUCUUUGGGUACUUGUACAUUGUUAGUAAUGUUUUUUGUUACAAUCCCACCCUAAUCCUCUUUAACAUAAAAUUACAAUCACAAAAUGGAGGACAACUACAGAACACUGGGAAUCAUGGCCUAACCAACUUGGUACACACAUUUUUCGGGGGGGACAUAAUACAAUCCAUGACAUCCACCUUUUAGUAUAUUUUGGGGACUGGCUCUUUUAGUCAGAAACAGGUUGAAUAAAAGUGCUUACUUACCAGCAGUUUCCCGACAGUGUUGGUGACGGAUCCCCAGUUGGAUACACACAAUCACACUGACUGCAUUUGCGGUGCCUCAGCAAGUCCCACUUGCCUUCGUAACACUGAUCUCUAGAACAAAACACAGCUCUGUAAGCAAGUCAGUUAAAAAUAAAGGCAUUGGAUAUUGAACAUCACUAAAGACAUAAGUGCAUAUUGGUUCUGUGUUGGUUGCCAGAAUCUAAUUCUCUUAAUUAAUUCAUAUUUUUUGUAGAUAUUUUUCUUGCUCCAUAUACCCAGAGUUCUGUGUACAUAUAAUGAACAUUCUACACGUAGGUUUCUCACAAAUAUUACCCAAUGUCAUUCAUUUUUUUGACCAUUCACUCAAUGUUCAAGAAUAAAUUGAAGUAUAGGAAAUAUUCUUAUGGUUAUUUAACUCUAAGGAUGAAGAAAUUGCAUAGCGGGUCUUGGCUCCCUUUAGAAAUUCUCUACCUGAUGCAGUUCCACACAGCAACACGGACCUUCAUCUCAGCACAGGAAGAAAGACAGCUUUGUCUCAAUAUCUGCCACUGCUCUUCACCUUCUACUAAGGAAACUCAGGAAUCAAAUAUUUUAUACUGUCCAGCAAUGCUUACACUGUAAGUAUAAAGUGGGAGCCAUUAUAACGUUAAGGGAAAUAUCAUUGAUACAAUGUUGGCUUUUUAAUUAGGCAGAUUUGUCUUUGUAAUCCCACUCUGCCCUUAAUUGGCUGAUGACUUUAAGUAUGCUUCUUUACUUUCCGUAGCCUUGAUUUACUCACCCACAGAAUGGGACGAUGACCUUCAUCUGGAAAGAAUAUACAUAUAUACAUAUAUACAGACGUAUGAAGCUUACUUCUGACAAUACUAACAAAUAUUGCUAUUUUUUUUUUUUUUGCCUUCUUUACUCCAAGCUUCUAGACGGUUUACUCAGUUACAUUUCCUUCCUUCCUUUCUUCUUUCUUUCUAUGCUGCCUCUUUUUUUUUCCCUUUCAGUUUUAUUGUGAAUUCAUAAACGCUAGGUUGAAUUUCAGUGUUUAUAUGCUAUUGGGGGUAUGCAUAUAAGUAAGCAAAUUUAGCUUCCUGAAAUUGAAAUGUAGGUAAUUCCUGCACUGUCUGCCUCACAUGACAUGCGAAAGUUAUUUAAAAUAGUAAGAAAAUAUAAAUAUGUUACUUAUUAUCUAUUGAAUCCAUACAUCAGGCUAGAUAAUUUAACUGUCAUGUUGAAGUGAUAAAUUUAUAAAUAUAGAUAUUAAUAUUUUGUUAUUAAUGUAAGAAGAGUAAGUUAGACACCUAAUAUGAAGAGCAGGUAAGGAUUUCAAAAGGAUUGGUUCUCAGAAGAGUAGGACUAGAACAGUAAUAAACAAAAGGUAAAAUAUGUUCGUAGCAGGAACAUACAGAAGGUUGCUUCUACAAUGGUGUUUAAAAUAGAAUAAUGUAUAUUUGAUUAGACAAUCAUUUAUGGGAAUAAAAAGAUUAAGAAAAUUUAUCCUUACCUGCAAAAUCUUAGAACCGAAAAACCAAACCAAACCCAGUGCCGUCGAGUCGACUCCACUCCUACUCAUGGCGACCCUAUAGGACAGAGUAGAACUGCCCCAUAGAGUUUCCAAGGAGCGCCUGGAGGAUUCAAACUGCUGACCCUUUGGUUAGCAGCUGUAGCACUUAACCACUAUGCCACCAGGGUUUCCACAAAAUCUUAGAAGCAGCAACAUAUUCAUCAUAUUUCAUCCAGAACAUUCCUGAUGUCCUGCAGUCAUGCAUUUAAAGUCAUUUUUGCAGAAACAUUCAUUUUUAUAGCUACUUACCUUCCUGGUGAUUACAUCAUUGGCUCAUAAAGACGAGAAAAAGAACCAAAUGCAAUUUGGCUGUCUUGACUGGGUCCCAAAGAAGACUAUUAAGUUAAACAAAUGAAUAGAAACAUCUUAAAUAAGCAAUAUCUUCUAUGUGCAACUGCUUGUGUGUGGCACCAGGAAAAUAAACACUAAUCAAGGUAAUUUUAAUUCCCAGUGAAAUGAAACAUCAUAUGGAAACAUGGGGAUUUUACUCUCCCUUGAUAAUUAUAUCAUCUAGAAUCAUCUCAUGUGAGAUUUUUAUCAUAAAGGAAGGGUCCAUGGAAAGGAAAUGCCUGACUGGAGCCCGCUGUGGAUUAUUCUUAAUUGCCUCUCCACUCUCACAUUCCCAAAAGGAAGGAGGAUAUCAGGGCUUAAUAUGACUCAAGUACAGCAUGAAAAAAUGGAAUAUGUUUGCAAAUGUCAACACAACUAUUUGUAAAAUAAUUAGAUAUUUAUUAAAUCAUUUUGUGAGAAAUGAAGUGGCUCUGAUCAGACUUAAAUAAAUGGGUUGACUAAUUUUUUUUUUGUUGUUAAUAUUUGAAUGUACCAUGCAACUAGGUUGAUGGAAGUUGUAUAUAAAAGUUAUCCAAAUCACUCAGUAGGAUCAUUUCAAAGAAUCUGAAAAAAGUUAGGAAAAUAAAUUUGAAAUACUGUGGCACUAUGAGUCAACCAGAAUUACAGAGCGUUCAGUAAAUUGGAGUAAAAAAAGAACUGAAGGUAUCAUUUUCAAGUCGAUUGUUGUUAGGUGCCAUCAAGUCUGUUCUGACUCAUAGCCAAACUAUGUAUCACAGAACAAAACACUGCCUGGUCCUGUGCCAUUCUUACAAUCGUUACUAUGCUUGAGCCCAUUGUCGCACCCACUGUGUCAGUCUCUCUCUUUGAGGGUCUUCCUUUUUUUCCACUGAUCCUGUACUGUACCAAGCAUGAUGUCCUUCUCCAGGAACUGAUCUUUCCUGACAACAUGUCCAAAGUAUGUAAGACACAGUCUCGCCAUCCUUGCUUCUAAGGAGCAUUCUGGUUGUACUUCUUCCAAGACAGAUUUGUUCCUUCUCUUGGCAGUGCAUUCAAUAUU